UACGAAGGGGGCUAGCGUUGCUCGGAAUCACUGGGCGUAAAGGGUGCGCAGGCGGGUUUUUAAGUCAGGGGUGAAAUCCUGGAGCUCAACUCCAGAACUGCCUUUGAUACUGAAGAUCUCGAGUCCGGGAGAGGUGAGUGGAACUGCGAGUGUAGAGGUGAAAUUCGUAGAUAUUCGCAAGAACACCAGUGGCGAAGGCGGCUCACUGGCCCGGUACUGACGCUGAGGCACGAAAGCGUGGGGAGCAAACAGG
rnacentral:rRNA from 1 species